rnacentral:rRNA from 1 species
GAUGAACGCUGGCGGCGUGCCUAAUACAUGCAAGUCGAGCGAACAGACGAGGAGCUUGCUCCUCUGACGUUAGCGGCGGACGGGUGAGUAACACGUGGAUAACCUACCUAUAAGACUGGGAUAACUUCGGGAAACCGGAGCUAAUACCGGAUAAUAUAUUGAACCGCAUGGUUCAAUAGUGAAUGACGGUUUUGCUGUCACUUAUAGAUGGAUCCGCGCCGCAUUAGCUAGUUGGUAAGGUAACGGCUUACCAAGGCAACGAUGCGUAGCCGACCUGAGAGGGUGAUCGGCCACACUGGAACUGAGACACGGUCCAGACUCCUACGGGAGGCAGCAGUAGGGAAUCUUCGGCAAUGGGCGAAAGCCUGACGGAGCAACGCCGCGUGAGUGAUGAAGGUCUUCGGAUCGUAAAACUCUGUUAUUAGGGAAGAACAAAUGUGUAAGUAACUAUGCACGUCUUGACGGUACCUAAUCAGAAAGCCACGGCUAACUACGUG